UACCAGCACCCCGAGUGGUCGGGACGAUUAUUGGGCCUAAAGCAUCCGUAGCCGGUCCUACAAGUCUUCCGUUAAAUCCACCUGCUUAACAGAUGGGCUGCGGAGGAUACUACAAGGCUAGGAGGCGGAAGAGGCAAGCGGUACUCAGUGGGUAGGGGUAAAAUCCUCUGAUCCAUUGAAGACCACCAGUGGCGAAGGCGGCUUGCCAAUACGCGCUCGACGGUGAGGGAUGAAAGCUGGGGGGAGCAAACCGG
rnacentral:rRNA from 1 species